CGGGAAUCUUCCGCAAUGGACGAAAGUCUGACGGAGCAACGCCGCGUGAGUGAUGAAGGCUUUCGGGUCGUAAAACUCUGUUGUUAGGGAAGAACAAGUACGAGAGUAACUGCUCGUACCUUGACGGUACCUAACCAGAAAGCCACGGCUAACUACGUGCCAGCAGCCGCGGUAAUACGUAGGUGGCAAGCGUUAUCCGGAAUUAUUGGGCGUAAAGCGCGCGCAGGCGGUUUCUUAAGUCUGAUGUGAAAGCCCACGGCUCAACCGUGGAGGGUCAUUGGAAACUGGGGAACUUGAGUGCAGAAGAGAAAAGCGGAAUUCCACGUGUAGCGGUGAAAUGCGUAGAGAUGUGGAGGAACACCAGUGGCGAAGGCGGCUUUUUGGUCUGUAACUGACGCUGAGGCGCGAAAGCGUGGGGAGCAAAC
rnacentral:rRNA from 1 species